rnacentral:rRNA from 1 species
UACGUAGGGUGCAAGCGUUAAUCGGAAUUACUGGGCGUAAAGCGUGCGCAGGCGGUUCUAUAAGACAGAUGUGAAAUCCCCGGGCUCAACCUGGGAACUGCAUUUGUGACUGUAGAGCUGGAGUACGGCAGAGGGGGAUGGAAUUCCGCGUGUAGCAGUGAAAUGCGUAGAUAUGCGGAGGAACACCGAUGGCGAAGGCAAUCCCCUGGGCCUGUACUGACGCUCAUGCACGAAAGCGUGGGGAGC